rnacentral:rRNA from 1 species
CAGCUCUCCGAGUAGUGUGGAUGUUUAUUGGGCCUAAAGCAUCCGUAGCUUGCUAGGCAAGUCCCCUGUUAAAUCCACCGAUUCAAUCGAUGGUUUGCGGGGGAUACUGUUUGGCUAGGGGACGGGAGAGGUCGACGGUAUUUCCGGGGUAGGGGUGAAAUCCUAUAAUCCCGGGAGGACCACCAGUGGCGAAGGCUGUCGACUAGAACGCGCCCGACGGUGAGGGAUGAAAGCUGGGGGAGCGAACCGGAUUAGAUACCCGAGUAGUCC